GGCUUCGUGGUCGAAUGGUAAGGACACUUGUCUUUCACCCUGGAAUCCCGGAUUCGAUUCCCGGUUGAGGAGCUA